GGACCCAGCACUGACGUUCUCUGACACAGUUCUCUUUGUGGUCUCUUCAGAGAGUCUGGCAUGUGUCAUUUUUCUGGAUUCCAGGUCUUCUUGGACAACCGAUAGCUUCUAUCAACUAACAUUUGCACUGGGCUAUGAGAAGUGGGUGGGUAUUCCAGACAAUCCCUCAAGAACAGCUAAGCAGCAGGCCACACGGGGAAGUCCCCCGAGCCACUAGAGGAGGAGCACACUGUGCGUUCCAGGAGGAUCCUGUGAAGCAAACAUCAAUGUGCAGAGCCCUGCCCUGGAUUCCCAGGCUUUUAACUCAAAUCUGCACCAUACUUUCACCUCAGCUGACUUCUGGACUUUUGUUUAAAAUUCAUACUCUGUACUUGAAACAGAAAAAAGAUGUGAUUUUUUUUUUUGGCUUAAUACUUCUGAAGGUGGUUGGGGGUAGCUGGACUCCAUCUGACUCAAGUUUGAGUCUAGACUUCCCCUCCAACUCCCUUUAGGUUGCUGAGUAAAUUGUAGUAUGUUUGACACAAAAUCAGUAUCUGUCAUGCACUCUUAGGCAAAUGAUAAUUUUCUACUGAAAACUAUUUCCUUAGUGAAGGUAAAUCUUCAACCCCUGUUGACAGAUCCAAUUUUUGCAAAACGCCAGAAAAGUCUGUAACAUGUGGGGAAGCAUAAUUCAGCUUAGCAGAUAUUAUUGAGCAGUUACUACCUGUCAUUUGCUCCUUUGCUCUGAGAGUUGCCUGCUCCCUCCCUCCGCUUCCCUCAGUGUUUAACCCCAAGAGUCAUGUCCAGCCAACUGGAAGCCUAUCAGGAGACCCGAGAGUGGGAAGUACGGACAGCCACUGGUGGGGGCCGCUUAGGUCCCUGUGUCCCCUUUAGUUUGGGGUACUGAGUGUCUGCUGCUGCAGGUUCACACCUAUGGUCUUCUCUGUGGGACUGUGCUGGUGUCAUCUUGCCUGGAGGUGCCCCUUGGUGACACAGCCACCUGGGAACCUUUCCUAAUCACUGACUUGUCUGGGGUGUACAGACCCAUCUCUGUGACCUCAAGCCAGGACACACUGUAAUGCAAUUGCUACUCUGAGGCUCCCUGCAGGACCUGGUUGAUAUUAGAGGUUCCCUGAACCCCACCCUUGUUUGAAUCCCUGUCUUUGCCACUCCUGCUUCCCGGGACAUACUAAUUCCUCUUGUAACAGACUCGCACACAGCUCCCUGCUGUUGCUCUGCUUGGGGGACACCCAGCCUAGCAGCAGGGGAAGGCGAGGUACUUGUUCGCUUCUUGUUCUGCAUCAGGUGGAGUCUGAUGCAGUCGUAUGGCUCCUUUGCCAUUGGGGCUCUUGUCCUGGUAGCUCAAGCCGGGUCUAGCUCCCCUGGUUGUUCUAGUUACUCUGUUCUCCAUGGCUUCAGUUCCCUGAAAUAGGUCUAUCGCCCCUCCUCCGGGCAGCCUGUGUGUGCAGACAUUUGGCCAGACCCAUGAGCAGACCCUCCACAGAAUUUCUGGCUCCUCGGGUAGUGCCAGCCCCUAGCUUGGGAAGGGCAGCCCUGGGGGCGGCAGCUCUCUGUAGUCACUGAGCUCUGAGUUGCCUCACAUUCGGCCUCUGCUUUUCUGACACCUCUGCAAUGAAUUCCUUGUGUUCAAUGCCCCCUGCUGUGCUCUGCACUAUACAUUCUAUGGGCUCAGCUGGAUAUUGGCUGGAACACAGUGGAACCCCAGGCUUGAUCUGGGUGCAGAAGACACAAUGCGUUGCCCUCAGGCCGUUGGUAGGUGUUCAUCUGGCACUUACUGCUGGAGAAAACCCUGCUCUGAUAGGAGGUCCUAUGGCAAGAGCCCAGGGAAGCAGCAUACAGGCCAUCUUGGGUGGCGAGGUAGUGAGGUAAGGAGGGGAACAGUGCCCGGGGAAGUGGCUGGAGCCGAGUGGUGGAGGACAGAGCUGACUUAGGACGGCUCAUGUACAGAUUUUCCUGCUCCGAGCCAACUCUGCUCCUGAAUGGUAGUGGAAAGGUGCUGAUCCCCAUUAUCUCUCCCUCUGUACUCCCUGGUCUUGGCCAGUGAAUGGCCAAGGGAGCUUUCAGUCAUCCUGCACAGGGAGGUGGGGGACACUGACUCCUGGUACUCAACAGCAGCUGGAGACAUACGCAGUGACUUUAGACCAACUGAGCCGUCUUCCUUGCAUGCUGGGGCAUCCCAGCAGGCAUUGCUGCACUGGGAGGGAAAAGGGGCUGCUCCUGCUGAGUACUCUCUGGCCACUGCCUCU
rnacentral:lncRNA from 1 species